rnacentral:lncRNA from 1 species
AGGCACUUUGGGCAAAAUAUGACGAUAUUGAAGGACUAUACACCAUUAACUGCAAUUGGAAUUGGAGUCAUCUACCUGAUGUAAAAUUUAACUUUGGUGGUAGGGAAUUUGCCAUACCUGCCAGAGCUUACAUCAUCAAAUAUGCAGGUAAAUGCUAUUCAAGUUUCUUGCCCGAGGAUUUCUCCUCUUGGGGAUUCGAUUGGUUGGUAGGUGAUACAUUCCUGAAAACCGUUUACAGUGUAUUCGAUUUUGGUAAUGAUCGUGUUGGGUUCGCAAAACUAGCUUAAAUAGAUGUAAAUUUCCAAAUAGUUAAUAAUAAAUUAGUAAUAGCAUAAAAA